rnacentral:lncRNA from 1 species
UUUUUAUGUUAGUUGAAAUCCUAUGAAUCAUUGUGAACCAGUUAUCAUAUCCAAUGCAAACAACCAGUGAUGAGGCUAUGCCCAAUUUUUUUAUUACACAAUUAAAAAAGUAAAAUACAACAUGCAAAUCCAUUCAUCUCACAUCAUUAUUUUCUUUAUUCAAUAAUUUCUCUAUUAGGAGAAUGGUCUGACACUGAAGGCCUAGGGACUUGCCGGGGGUGAAGGUGGUGUUAUUUCUGGGACACGGUAACGUGCAAAAUUUUAGUUUUGGCAUUAUAACGAUGAACUAGAGAAAUUAAAUAAAGUAUGUAUAUAUUUAUAUGAAAAUAUAACAACCUGCAAAGUUGCUGUGUGUGUGCAAACCGUUGCCGCAUGCACGUGUAACCGUGGCAAACUUGGAGAGACUGAUCAAAGUCAGUUCAUGAGCGGUGAAGCGGUCACAGACGCAGUGGAUGUCUUUGGCAUCUUUUAUUGUAUGACAACACGGGCUCUCUAGUGGCGGGUACCGGUCACCAAGGCUCUUUUCGAUGUUAUGCCAACAGUCUCGCAUCACCUUUUUUUUGUCAAGGAGGCAGUGGUCUACCUGGUUGACUUCUCGUGCAUAGCACGAACAAGAAGAGAGAGCGACAAGGACUAGGAAGCAUACUCCAGCUAAUUUUGCGUUGUUCAUGUUCUAUGUUGUGUAGUACUAUUG